AUUGAACGCUAGCGGGAUGCUUUACACAUGCAAGUCGAACGGCAGCGCGGACUUCGGUCUGGCGGCGAGUGGCGAACGGGUGAGUAAUGUAUCGGAACGUGCCCAGUAGCGGGGGAUAACUACGCGAAAGCGUAGCUAAUACCGCAUACGCCCUACGGGGGAAAGCAGGGGAUCGUAAGACCUUGCACUAUUGGACCGGCCGAUAUCGGAUUAGCUAGUUGGUGAGGUAACGGCUCACCAAGGCGACGACCCGUAGCUGGUUUGAGAGGACGACCAGCCACACUGGGACUGAGACACGGCCCAGACUCCUACGGGAGGCAGCAGUGGGGAAUUUUGGACAAUGGGGGCAACCCUGAUCCAGCCAUCCCGCGUGUGCGAUGAAGGCCUUCGGGUUGUAAAGCACUUUUGGCAGGAAAGAAACGUCGCGGGCUAAUACCCCGUGGAACUGACGGUACCUGCAGAAUAAGCACCGGCUAACUACGUG
rnacentral:rRNA from 1 species